UUACCCCUGCCUUGUGCGAUAAUUUACAGCCCAUAUUAACCCUACAAUUGUAUUUUACGGGAGCUUAUCUCCCGGCGUGGAUUGCAGACCUCCCGUUUUUAACGGACGAAGGGAGCGUGAACCGUUGGGGAAGCACCCACCUGCUUUUAAACGCAGGUUACUAUCGGCUGUAUCCGGCUUGGCGGGGAUUUU
rnacentral:other from 1 species